GACCAUCGGCUGUAAGAUUGUCGUCAUCGGUUGGUACAACCGUUGCGACCCGAUAAGAGUCGGCUCUCCCAUGCUAUCAAUAUGAUAUAUCACACAAAAGUCAACAUCAUCAUCAUGAUGAUCAACAACGAGACGACGAUUAUUGUGUUGGCGGCAGCAGCGGCGUAUUGUUGGUUACGGCACAAAAUAUUAAACAAACAAAAUGCAAACGCAAACGAAGAGAACGAAUGACAGAAAUGCAAAUAAAAUAACAAAAUAUUAGACGAAGAACAAGCAAUCGGUAGCGCGCGGACGAUUGAUUGAAUGAGCAUUUUGUCAAAACAUAAUUAUUAUUGAUCACAUAACACAACGGCAAGAGGAAUUGGCGCAAAAAAUGAUGAAGGCAAAAUGCAAAUGAAAAGAAAAGAAAAAAAGGAAACAAAACAAAUGAAUUAUAACAGAAAAACAAUGUGUAAAACAAUGAGAGAAAAAAUAAGUCUAGUACAAAUAAUUACGUUUUUAUUAUACUAGAAGAUAAUGUUUAUAUUAUUAUUAUAUAAGUCAUACAGCAUUGAUGAUGAGAUAAUUCAUAGUAAUGCAUAAUAAAUUUCAUUAUUAAUACAAAUAAAUUUAUACACUAAAUCAA
rnacentral:sRNA from 1 species